CGAACGCUGGCGGCGUGCUUAACACAUGCAAGUCGAAACGCGAAAGGGACUUCGGUCCUGAGUAAAGUGGCGCACGGGUGAGUAACGCGUAGAUAACCUGUCUUCAUGUCUGGAAUAAUACGCCGAAAGGGGUACUAAUACCGGAUAUUCUUGCUUUUCAUAAGUUAUGCAAGCAAAGGUGGCCUCUGCAUAUGCUACUGCAUGAAGAGGGGUCUGCGUACCAUUAGCUAGUAGGUGGGGUAAUGGCCUACCUAGGCGACGAUGGUUAGCGGGUCUGAGAGGAUGAUCCGCCACACUGGCACUGGAACACGGGCCAGACUCCUACGGGAGGCAGCAGUGAGGAAUAUUGCGCAAUGGGGGAAACCCUGACGCAGCGACGCCGCGUGAGUGAGGAAAAGGCCUUCGGGUCGUAAAGCUCUGUCAAGAGGAAAGAAGUGUACAAUGGCUAAUACCUGUUGUAUUUGACGGUACCUCUAAAGGAAGCACCGGCUAACUCCGUGCCAGCAGCAGC
rnacentral:rRNA from 1 species